GCGCAAUGGGCGAAAGCCUGACGCAGCAACGCCGCGUGGGGGAUGACGGCCUUCGGGUUGUAAACCUCUUUCGACAGGGACGAAGCUUUCGGGUGACGGUACCUGUAGAAGAAGCACCGGCUAACUACGUGCCAGCAGCCGCGGUAAUACGUAGGGUGCGAACGUUGUCCGGAUUUAUUGGGCGUAAAGAGCUCGUAGGCGGUUUGUCGCGUCGGCCGUGAAAACCUGCAGCUUAACUGUGGGCGUGCGGUCGAUACGGGCAGACUUGAGUUCGGCAGGGGAGACUGGAAUUCCUGGUGUAGCGGUGAAAUGCGCAGAUAUCAGGAGGAACACCGGUGGCGAAGGCGGGUCUCUGGGCCGAUACUGACGCUGAGGAGCGAAAGCAUGGGGAGCGAACAGGAUUAGAUACCCUGGUAGUCCAUGCCGUAAACGUUGGGCGCUAGGUGUGGGGAUGGGUUCCACCGUUUCCGUGCCGUAGCUAACGCAUUAAGCGCCCCGCCUGGGGAGUACGGCCGCAAGGCU
rnacentral:rRNA from 1 species